rnacentral:lncRNA from 1 species
AUGGGAGAGUUGAAAGAAGAGAAUAUGGAAGUAGCAGCAGCUAGAAAGAGCUUCAAGAAGAGCUUUAGUCGCAGUAAAAGUACCAGGUGCAUAGACGCUGCCCAAAUCAACCCUACAAAUAUAAGCUUUGGGAAAAUCUACCCGUGCCCCGAAGCAGACAAAGCACUUUUUAGAAGUUUAAGUGUGGUGGAUAUUAAUAGGGAGAGGAAGAUCGCUCAUUCUGCAUCUUUGCCUUCUCACUUGUCUACCUCUCGUCAUGAUUUUGACUACCGUUCUUCAAGACGGAUAUUCAUCGGAAGCUAUCAUUUCAACAAGAAAGUUGAAAAAACAUUAUCGUUUUCGAAGAUAAAGGAGUGGUUACCGUUAUUGUUUUCAAGAG